UACGUAGGUGACAAGCGUUGUCCGGAUUUACUGGGCGUAAAGAGCGCGCAGGCGGUCGUUCAAGUCGAGUGUGAAAGCCCCCGGCUCAACUGGGGAGGGUCACUCGAUACUGAUCGACUCGAAGGCAGGAGAGGGAAGUGGAAUUCCCGGUGUAGUGGUGAAAUGCGUAGAUAUCGGGAGGAACACCAGUGGCGAAGGCGACUUCCUGGCCCAUUCUUGACGCUGAGGCGCGAAAGCUAGGGGAGCGAACGGG
rnacentral:rRNA from 1 species